UACGUAGGGUGCGAGCGUUAAUCGGAAUUACUGGGCGUAAAGCGUGCGCAGGCGGUUGGGCAAGACAGAUGUGAAAUCCCCGGGCUUAACCUGGGAAUGGCAUUUGUGACUGCACGGCUAGAGUGUGUCAGAGGGAGGUAGAAUUCCACGUGUAGCAGUGAAAUGCGUAGAUAUGUGGAGGAAUACCGAUGGCGAAGGCAGCCUCCUGGGAUAACACUGACGCUCAUGCACGAAAGCGUGGGGAGCAAACAGG
rnacentral:rRNA from 1 species